rnacentral:rRNA from 1 species
GACGAACCGUGCGAACGUUAUUCGGAAUCAUUGGGCUUAAAGAGCGCGUAGGCGGCAUCAUAAGUCAGGGGUGAAAUCCCAUCGGCUCAACCGUGGAAUAGCUUUUGAUACUGUGAUGCUCGAGGGAGAUAGGGGCAAGUGGAACUUCCGGUGGAGCGGUGAAAUGUGUUGAGAUCGGAAGGAACGCCAGUGGCGAAAGCGACUUGCUGGACCUCUUCUGACGCUGAGGCGCGAAAGCUAGGGUAGCGAACGGGAUUAGAAACCCG